rnacentral:rRNA from 1 species
UGGGGAAUAUUGCACAAUGGGGGAAACCCUGAUGCAGCGACGCCGCGUGAACGAAGAAGGUAUUCGUAUCGUAAAGUUCUGUCCUAUGGGAAGAUAAUGACAGUACCAUAGAAGAAAGCUCCGGCUAAAUACGUGCCAGCAGCCGCGGUAAUACGUAUGGAGCGAGCGUUGUCCGGAAUUAUUGGGCGUAAAGGUACGCAGGCGGUUUAAUAAGUCGAAUGUUAAAGAUCGGGGCUCAACCCCGUAAAGCAUUGGAAACUGAUAAACUUGAGUAGUGGAGAGGAAAGUGGAAUUCCUAGUGUAGUGGUGAAAUACGUAGAUAUUAGGAGGAAUACCAGUAGCGAAGGCGACUUUCUGGACACAAACUGACGCUGAGGUACGAAAGCGUGGGGAGCAAACAGG